rnacentral:rRNA from 1 species
CCUACGGGAGGCUGCAGUGGGGAAUAUUGGACAAUGGGGGCAACCCUGAUCCAGCCAUGCCGCGUGUGUGAAGAAGGCCCUCGGGUUGUAAAGCACUUUCAGUGAGGAAGAACGCCUGGUGGUUAAUACCCAUCAGGAAAGACAUCACUCACAGAAGAAGCACCGGCUAACUCCGUGCCAGCAGCCGCGGUAAUACGGAGGGUGCGAGCGUUAAUCGGAAUUACUGGGCGUAAAGCGCGCGUAGGUGGCUUGAUAAGCCGGUUGUGAAAGCCCCGGGCUCAACCUGGGAACUGCAUCCGGAACUGUCAAGCUAGAGUGCAGGAGAGGAAUGUAGAAUUCCCGGUGUAGCGGUGAAAUGCGUAGAGAUCGGGAGGAAUACCAGUGGCGAAGGCGGCCUUCUGGACUGACACUGACGCUGAGGUGCGAAAGCGUGGGUAGCAAACAGGAUUAGAUACCCCAGUAGUC